rnacentral:rRNA from 1 species
ACGGGGUGCAGCAGGCGCGAAAACUUCGCAAUGUGGGAAACCACGACGAGGGGAAUCCAAGUGCUUGCACAAUGUGUAGGCUGUUUCCAUGCCUAAAAAGCAUGGAGAGUAAGGGCUGGGUAAGACGGGUGCCAGCCGCCGCGGUAAUACCCGCAGCCCGAGUGGUGGUCGUUAUUAUUGGGCCUAAAACGUCCGUAGCCGGCCCGGUAAAUUCGUGGGGAAAUCGGUCAGCUUAACUGACCGAAGUCCGCGGAGACUGCCGGGCUUGGGACUGGGUGAGGUCAGAGGUACUUCAGGGGUAGGGGUAAAAUCCUGUAAUCCUUGAAGGACCACCAGUGGCGAAGGCGUCUGACUAGAACGGAUCCGACGGUAAGGGACGAAGCCCUGGGGCACAAACGGGAUUAGAUACCCCGGUAGUCCAGGGUGUAAACGCUGUGGGCUUGGUGUUGGGAGUCCCACGAGGGCGCCCAGUGCCGGAGAGAAGUUGUUAAGCCUACUGCCUGGGAGUACGCUCGCAAG